UACGAAGGGGGCUAGCGUUGUUCGGAAUUACUGGGCGUAAAGCGCGCGCAGGCGGUUCUUCAAGUCAGUGGUGAAAGCCCGGAGCUCAACUCCGGAACUGCCAUUGAGACUGCAUCGCUAGAAUUGUGGAGAGGUAAGUGGAAUUCCGAGUGUAGAGGUGAAAUUCGUAGAUAUUCGGAAGAACACCAGUGGCGAAGGCGACUUACUGGACACAUAUUGACGCUGAGGUGCGAAAGCGUGGGGAGCAAACAGG
rnacentral:rRNA from 1 species